AGACUCACCCCUCCCUCCCUCCCUGUCCUGUGUCAAUGGUCACCUCCAUCAACCGUGAGGUGUGACUCACCCCUCCCUCCCUCCCUGUCCUGUGUCAAUGGUCACCUCCAUCAACCGUGAGGUGUGACUCACCCCUCCCUCCCUCCCUGUCCUGUGUCAAUGGUCACCUCCAUCAACCGUGAGGUGUGACUCACCCCUCCCUCCCUCCCUGUCCUGUGUCAAUGGUCACCUCCAUCAACCGUGAGGUGUGACUCACCCCUCCCUCCCUCCCUGUCCUGUGUCAAUGGUCACCUCCAUUAACCGUGAGGUGUGACUCACCCCUCCCUCCCUCCCUGUCCUGUGUCAAUGGUCACCUCCAUCAACCGUGAGGUGUGACUCACCCCUCCCUCCCUCCCUGUCCUGUGUCAAUGGUCACCUCCAUUAACCGUGAGGUGUGACUCACCCCUCCCUCCCUCCCUC